ACUAUUUUGGCAGAUUAGUGCAAUAAAUUUAGGAUUUAUUUAUGUGGGUUGUACCUACAAAUAGUA
rnacentral:tRNA from 1 species